GAUUAUUGAGUAUUCCAGUCCAUGAACAUAGUUUAUGUCCUACCCACUUAGAUCAUCUUCAAUGCCUUUCAUCAGGAUUAUUUGUAGUUGUCAACAUGCUGUAGUACUUUGAAUGAGAUAUGUCCCCCAGAGGCUCAGGAAAUCUGUAACUUGUGAGCAACAGGAGACAGAACAGAGCAGAGGACUGUCCAUCUCUGGUGAUGAGUGAGCCAAGGGUCUGAGAAUUUCCCAUUUCAGAGGCCACGUGCAGAAGGACAUUUCUAUUGAGCAAGGAGUUCUCUGAAUGAAGACAGCACAUGGAGAACUGAGUGCUCGUGACACCAGCUAAGUGGCUGAGCCCCGAGUCCACCACUCACUGCUAUGCUCCAGAUCUACCCUGUGGAAUCCCAUCGCAGACAUGAAUUAUGGGGAGACAUGUCCUUUGUCAUAUCCCUAAUUCAGAAAAAAAAAACAAGCUUUUUCCUGUUCUCUGCCAUUUCCUGCCAUGCGUAAUAUAGUAAAUUAAUUAGUGGAUCUGGAGGCAUUUUGCUAAUACAA